AGCGAACGCUGGCGGCAGGCCUAACACAUGCAAGUCGAACGAACCCUUCGGGGUUAGUGGCGGACGGGUGAGUAACACGUGGGAACGUGCCUUUAGGUUCGGAAUAACUCAGGGAAACUUGUGCUAAUACCGAAUGUGCCCUUCGGGGGAAAGAUUUAUCGCCUUUAGAGCGGCCCGCGUCUGAUUAGCUAGUUGGUGAGGUAAUGGCUCACCAAGGCUACGAUCGGUAGCUGGUCUGAGAGGAUGACCAGCCACAUUGGGACUGUGACACGGCCCAAACUCCUACGGGAGGCAGCAGUGGGGAAUCUUGCGCAAUGGGCGAAAGCCUGACGCAGCCAUGCCGCGUGGAUGAUGAGGGUCUUAGGAUUGUAAAAUCCUUUCACCGGUGAAGAUAAUGACUGUAGCCGGAGAAGAAGCCCCGGCUAACUUCGUGCCAGCCGCCGCCGUAAGAC
rnacentral:rRNA from 1 species